rnacentral:lncRNA from 1 species
GCACACACACCUGUGAUAGAGUUCCUAAUAUCCAGCGGGAAAGAGGCUGAUUUUACUUUCGAUAUCACAGUGGGUGUACACCGCCCCAACCCCAGGGGUAUCGUUCCUAAUAUCCAAGCGGGAAGAAGAUGACAUGGCUGACAAUAUCGAAGGGGUGGACACUUCUUCCGUGAUAUGGUUCCUGAUAUCCAGGGGGUGAAUGGAUAUUACUCUCAAAAAAGUAGGAACCGUACAGCCACCCUGGGAUUUUGUCCUUAAUAAGCACAGGGGAGAGGUGAUAUUACUACCAACAUUGCAAGGGGUGUACACCCCUCCUGUGAUAUUGUUUUUUAUAUCCAGGAGAGGAGAAGAUGGUAUUACUACCAAUAUUGAAGGGAUGGACAGCCCCCAAGGGAUAUUGUUCUAAAGAUACAGGUUGAAGGAGGAUGAGAUUCCAUCCAAUAUAACAAGGGGUGUACACCCCGCCUGUGAUGUGAAUCGUAAAACCUAGAAGAAGACAGAAUGACAUUGCUUCCAAAAACUCACGGGGUGUACACCCACCUUGUGAUAUUGUUCCUGUCAUCUAAAGGAAGAGAUGAUGAUACUACUCCCACUACCGGAGGAGGUACAUACCCCCCUGUAAUAUUGUUCCUCAUAACCUGUGGGGGAGAGCAUGAUAUUACUUCCAGUAUGACAGUGGCUUGACACCCAGUCUGUGAUAUUGCUCCUAAUUUCCAGUAGGUAAAGUACAAUGUUCCUGCCAAGAGAGUAGUGGGUGUACAGCCGCCCUGUGAUAUGUCUCCGAAUAUUCAGGGAAACACAGGAGGACAUUACCCCAAAUCUCCCAAAUAGCGUACACCCAUUGUGUGAUAUGGUUGCUAAUAUCCGGAGGUGUAGAGGAUGGUAUUCGUUCUCCUGUCGCAGGCUGUGUACACACAACCUGUGAAAUUCUUCCUAAUAUCCUGAACAAAAGAAACUGCUAGUAAUGGACACACAUUGCAGGGGGGGAGUAAUUGGCUAUUACGAUCCACAUCGCAAGGGGUGAGGAACUCCCCACUAUAUGGGGAGUAAUAUCAACCCCCUCUCCCCACUGGCUCUUACGAUCCACAUCGCAGGGCAAUUCAGGACACCAGCCCUGCCCCAAACUUGACCCAGACAGUGGGUGUCAUGGGACCACCUCAGGGUGGGUGGCAGCUCAGCUCUAAGGUAUCCUUGCUGCCAAAGACCAACUGCUCCUGC